AUACGGCCACAUCGCGUUGAAACACCGGUUCACCGAAGUUAAGCAACGUCAAGCUUGGUCUGUACCUAGAUGGGUGACCGCUUGGGAAUACCAGGUGCUGUAA